CGGGGUGCAGCAGGCGCGAAACCUUUACACUGCACGAAAGUGCGAUAAGGGGAUUCCAAGUGUGCAUAUACCAUAUGCACUUUUUCGGAGUUUAAAAAGCUCCGGGAAUAAGGGGUGGGCAAGACUAGUGCCAGCCGCCGCGGUAAAACUAGCAUCGCAAGUGGCAGUCACCUUUACUGGGCUUAGAGCGUCCGUAGCUCGUUUGGCAAGUCCCUGGUGAAAUCCUGCGGCUUAACCGUAGGGCCUGCCGGGGAAACUACCAGACUUGAAGGCAAGAGAGGUCAGGGGUACUUCUGGGGUAGGGGUGAAAUCCUAUAAUCCUAGAAGGACCAACAGUGGCGAAGGCGCCUGACAUGAGUGCGCUUGACAGUGAGGGACGAGAGCCAGGGGCGCGAAACGGAUUAGAUACCCGUGUAGUCCUGGCCGUAAACGAUGCUGAUUAGGUGGGGUGCGAUCUUAGGGAUCGUGCUAUGCCGAAGGGAAACCGUUAAAUCAGCCGCCUGGGGAGUACGACCGCAAGGUUGAAACUUAAAGGAAUUGGCGGGGGAGCAC
rnacentral:rRNA from 1 species